rnacentral:rRNA from 1 species
UACAGAGGUCUCAAGCGUUUGUUCGGAUUCAUUGGGCGUAAAGAGCUCGUAGGCGGUCUGUCGCGUCGGAUGUGAAAACUCGGGGCUCAACCCCGGGCCUGCAUUCGAUACGGGCAGACUAGAGUUCGGCAGGGGAGACUGGAAUUCCUGGUGUAGCGGUGAAAUGCGCAGAUAUCAGGAGGAACACCGGUGGCGAAGGCGGGUCUCUGGGCCGAAACUGACGCUGAGGAGCGAAAGCGUGGGGAGCAAACAGG